rnacentral:lncRNA from 1 species
UCUCGCAUAUCUCUGGUUGCCUUGUCUGCCUCUCUCCUCUCUCUAAGUGUAGAAGAAUACACAGACAGAAAGAAAAACUUGGUAGCCACUUUCCCUCGUGAUUUUGGCCGAUUUAGAGUUGGAUUUCGAAGAUGAUGAAGUUGAAGAAAGGAUAGAUUAAGGUAAGAUCUAUCCAUUUUUGUUGGUUUCGUUCGCAUGCAUGAUGUUUUCGUUCUGUUUGAUUAGUUCCUAAGUGUGUAUUCUCUGUUGUUUUAGGCAUAAUUUUAGCACUUGGAGGAGUCAUUUGGAGUCAUUUAGAGCUUGAGUAGGAUUUGCGUAGCGAAGUGAACUACGAAGUUGAAGAUCAAGGUAUGAGCUUUGCAAUACAUGGAAUUUUUUGUGCAUGCACAAUGGUAAUUAGUUAGUCUUUUAGCUCGUCAUUAGCUAUGCGAUGUUAGUGCUUAGAGGUUAGAAAUAAUUUCAGACGACAGAUACAACAUUUAUAAUAUUUUUUUAGAAGAGUAGGUUGAAGAUGUUGUAUCUAUGUUAGGUGCGUCCAUUAGUAUUGACAUGCGAGAAAUCUUAAUCCGGUAAUUAAGAAAAAACUUGUAUUGUAAUUGUUCAUUGCAUGUGGUAUGUUAUUUCAUGUGGUAUGCUUAUUAAUAAGUCUAUAGUUAGGAAGCCCUAGGUCUACAUUGUUAUGUCGCAAUAAUCUAAAUUUUAUAUGUUAAGGUUAUGUGCUAAUGUAUUUGAUGAUGUAUGUAAUUAGGUAAAAUAAUUCAUCUUAGUAGCAAACAAGGAGGAGAUGACGUGAUUGAAGAAAUUGUGUUUCCAUCUUCGCUGUCCCUUUUGAGGUGAUGACCACAUACAUGCAAGUGCUAUUUCCAUACUUUUGAUAGCAGAAAGAAAAAUCCGUGUGUAAUAUUGAUGUUCAUGUGAUAAUAGGUUGACUCCGUUCGAACUAUUUGGACUCUUAAUUGCAUUCGCAAGCACAUCCAUAUUGGAGCUAAGGUAUAAAAUGACACCGUAAUUUUGUUAAUAUUUUUUAUAUUGAUGUACUGUAUCCAGAGAUAUGCAUCGUCUAAGGGUAAGAGUUCUGCAUCGUCUAAGGGCAAGACUACUGCAUCCUCGAAGGGCAAGAUUUCUGCAUCGUCCAAGGGUAAGAGUUCUGCAUCCUCGAAGGGCAAGAGUUCUGCAUCGACGGAGGAUGACGAUGAUGCCUUCAUGUAGUUUUUAAGCUGUAUUCCAGUUCUACCGUUUAAUUCAGAUGUACUUGCAUUAUUAGUUUGUACUCUCUUAUUGUAGGGCAUUAUGUUCUAUCUUAAUUUCAUUCUGUAGUUGUUGCACGAUGUUCGAUAUUAGUGGAGGGCAUGAAAAUGCCACUACUUUAUUCUAAAACUAUA